ACGAGAUGAGUGACGACAUUGAAAAAACUCAGAGCCUUCCUACAAAAAUUGUGUAGAAGACGAUCUACAAAAAUAUCUAGUAGUUUACAAUCUUACAAAACAGGUUGAAAAUUUGGCAUCAUUUUCAAAUCCCCAGGCAACCUACCAAGUCUUUCUGACAAUUUCAAAAUCUCAUUAAAAUCACCUCCAAUUAUCCAGGGUAAAAAAAAGAAAGAAUGCAAUCUAUGUAGUAGCUGCCAUGUAUGAUUUUCAAAGCAGCCUCCCGAUGCAUAUACAUUCCAGAAAAAUGCCAUAUGAAAUCAUAUUUCAUCCGUAUAGUGGCAUUAAUAUGGUGCCAACCAUAUGAAUGCACAAAAAAAUAAUCUCUCGCUGCCAGAGCAAAGUUAAACCCUCUCCCCACGUUUGCGGCUAUCAACAACCAAACAAUUUUCAAACCUCAAACAUGAAUACUUAUGUUGCAUCUCAGACACAGUUAAUCUAGUUUCACACAAAAAUAUAAUAUUUGUCUAUGUCUCAUGGGGAAUUUUUCAAAUUGCAUGGAAUGUCUCAGGAUUCCUCAAACCUCGAACAUUCAAACAUAAGACAUUUAUUGCGAUUGAUGGGGCUGAGACUUAGGACCCAUUGAUAAUUGUGAAGAAAUAUUAGUAGAAGUCACUGAACCACCAUCAACAACCCUAUGGGCAUAAUCCUCAGACGCUAAUCAUACUCGUUUGCCAGAGCCAUUCUUAUCUGCAACCCUCUAAUUAAUGAGCCUUUUUGAUGCCAUAGCCAAGGGAAUAGAAACUGGAGUAGAACUUUCUAUCAUUGCCAGACGCUUCCACUGCCUCCUUUUAGUUUUCCCACUUCUAGACAUGCUGAGUUUUGCAGCACCUCUUAAGAUUCAUGUUGAUCCUUAUUAGCACAACCCAAGGUAGGAUAAAAAUUGCGAGAAAGACCAUCAUUAACAUCCUUAUAGCCGGCAUUAGUUUUGAGAG
rnacentral:lncRNA from 1 species